UCUACCACCCUCGCUCUCUUUCCACUGCACUCGCUCCUUGUAUCAGGUGAUCGGGUUAAUUGGGAACCCACCUGCACAUUGAUUGCAGGGUGGCGCUAGCCUGUAUAAAGCUAAGCCGAUGUCUUGUUGGAUUAAUUCCUCCCGAGCUUCUGGUACGAUACAGCAGUAAAUGCUGGCGUACUGCGACGGAUUGAUCAGCAAGAGCCGAUUAUACGACAGCUACAGCGCAGCAGUCUGUUUAAUUCUGCCAUUGCGGAGAGAGGUGUUCGUGGUAUCUCCACCAAUGAGAGUAUAGUGCCUCCGGUCCUGGGGGUUCACUGCUGUACUCACCUCUCCAUGUGAAGGAGGACGAGCCAGUGGCCCUGGGACCUCAGGUGGUGGGUCGUUUUCACACUUUCUUUUGUACAGCACUGGGUGGUCUGCAGUGAUUCUUUUGGUGUGAUUUUCUUUUGGUUCCACGGCUGCUGGUAAGUCCAAGUUCCACGAUUGUUUAUUUUUACUGUAGGACACUGUCAAU